rnacentral:rRNA from 1 species
AGGGAACGGGCUUGGGAUGAGACGGCGGGGAAAGAAGACCCUGUUGAGCUUGACUCUAGUCAGUCUUUGUGAAGAAACAUGAGAGAUGUAGGAUACGUGGGACCUCAGGGGUCAGUGAAAUACCACUGCUUUCAUUGUUACUUCACUUACUCGAUUGUUAUGUAAGCGAACGCGCUGUUUGUCAAAAAUCUAUUUCUUGCUUCAGUGCACGAGAAAAUUACUGUUCGAGAACAACCACUGAUUGGGAGUUUGACUGGGGCGGUACAUCUGUCAAAAUCUAACGCGGUGCCCAAAGGUGUUCUCAGCGAGAACAGAAGAUUCGCGUGGCGCGAAAGGGCAAAAGAUCGCUUGAACUUGAUUUCCAGUCGGGAUAUGGACGAUGAAAGUUCGGCCUAUUGAUUUAUGACCAUUACGUCUUUGGAGCAAGUGGGUCGCAAAAGUUACCACAGGGAUAACUGG